rnacentral:rRNA from 1 species
CCUAUCUGGUUGAUCCUGCCAGUAGUCAUAUGCUUGUCUCAAAGAUUAAGCCAUGCAUGUCUAAGUCCAAGCUGUGCUUGUCACGGUGAGACCGCGGACGGCUCAUUAAAUCAGUCGUGGUCCAAAUGGGCCAGUGCUAUGAGUACAUGGAUAACUGUGGUAAUUCCAGAGCUAAUACAUGCAACUGAUAUCCUGACGUGGGCUUGACUUGUUCUUGCUCUCUGACGGAUGCUUUUAUUAGACCAAACCGCUGAGGGCGCUUCGUUGCGGCUUGCCGUUUCGUUGUGCCUGACUCGUUCAAUGGUGACUCUGAAUAACCUGGAUUGACAAGCGCACGUACCCCUCUCUGAGUGGGACGGCGCUGCCACUUUCGAGUGUCUGCCUUAUCAGCUAUCAACCGCUCGUUAUGUGCGACCGAUGGCGUUGACGGGUAACGGAGAAUCAGGGUUCGAUUCCGGAGAGGCAGCCUGAGAGACGGCUACCACGUCCAAGGACGGCAGCAGGCACGCAAAUUACCCAAUCCCAGCAACUGGGGGAGGUAGUGACGAAACAUAACGAUGCGGGCGCCCUUUCUAGGGCCCCGCAAUCGGAAUGAGCACUUUCUAAACAACCUGACUAGAACCUACUGAAGGGCAAGUCUGGUGCCAGCAGCCGCGGUAAUUCCAGCUUCAGCAGCAUCUACUAAAGUUGCUGCGGUUAAAAGGCUCGCAGUUGAAUGUCGGUAUCGAGCUCAGGUCAGGUGGACGCUGGGGCGUGGGAACACGGAGGCUUUGUGUAUUGAGGCGUAAAAACUGAUUUCGCACUGUCCUUCUCUCACAAGCUCCCGUCCGUAAACAGCCUCCUGGCUCGCUUACAUAUUUGGUCUGGCUUAUGGAGUGCGCGUUGGUGCGUGCGGGUCGGCUUCAGUGUGUGUGUUUCUGGGCUCAGAUUAACGUCUGAUGUUCGGUGCGCGCGCUCUGUUGUGUCUGUCCGUGCGUGCCUCGUGCUCAAGCUCUACGGAUCUGGUGUCACCCUGAGUAAAUCAGAGUGUUCAAAGCAGUCGUGUGGGCGCAAGCCCUUUGAACCGCCUUGGCGGACUGACUUGGUUUUGCAUGGCAUGUCGGAAGACGACGUAGUGUGCUGGCUCAGAGAUAAAAUCAGUGGUGCAAGCCAGCCACUACGUACUGAUUAAAAGGACUGGUCGAGGGCAUUGGUAUUGCGGGGCGAGAGGUGAAAUUCUGUGACCCCCGCAAGACCUCCUGAAGCGAAAGCGUCUGCCAAGGACGUUUUCAUUAAUCAUGAACGAAAGUUAGAGGAUCGAAGGCGAUCAGAUACCGCCCUAGUUCUAACCCUAAACGAUGCCAACCAUCAAUCCGCGCGUAGCACCCUAUUUUACGGGCUCGGCGGGCAGCUCCUCGCUCACGGGAAACCAGAGUCUCUGGGUUCCGGGGGGAGUCUGGUUGCAAAGCUGAAACUUAAAGGAAUUGACGGAAAGGCACCACCAGGCGUGGAGCCUGCGGCUUAAUUUGACUCAACACGGGCCAUCUCACCAGGCCAGCACUCUAUUUCGAUUGACAGAUUGAGAGCUCUUUCUCGAUUUAGUGGAUGGUGGUGCAUGGCCGUUCUUAGUUGGUGGAGUGAUCUGUCUGGUUAAUUCCGAUAACGAACGAGACUCUCCCCUGCUAACUAGUCGGUUGGAUCUUGCUGGACGAGUUGGGCGCCGGGUGUCGUGCGGUUUUGCGCGCGUUCUGUGUGUUGUCUCGGGUCGGUGGUUGGGUGCAAGCUCAUAUCAUUUGGCUCGUUGGCCGCACGGGCGCUGUGUGAUCCCACGCCUCGGGUAGCUACACUCCAAGUCCGCCGUUUGUGAAACAUAUCUUCUUAGAGGGAUACACGGUAUCGAAACCGUCAGAGACUGAGAGCAAUAGCAGGUCUGUGAUGCCCUUAGAUGCUCUGGGCCGCACGCGCGCUACAAUGCCGGGCACAGCGGGCACAUUUCCUUCUUCGACAGGAGCGGGUAACCCGUUGAAAGCCCUUACUCUGUUUCAGUCUCGCAUUGCCUCGUGCUUUGCGAACGGCGUGCUUGGGCCUGGGGCUUGCAAUUCUUUCCCACAAACGAGGAAUGCCUAGUAGCGGCGAGUCACUGAGCUCGCCGUGACUCAGUCCCUGCCCUUUGUACACACCGCCCGUCGCUACUACCGAUUGGGUGUACCAGUGAGAGCCUUGGACUGGCGUCCGCUGCUCCUCGCGGGGCAGUCGUGUCUGACGGAAAGAGGUUCGAACUGGUGCACCUAGAGGAAGUAAAAGUCGUAACAAGGUUUCCGUAGUGAACCUGCGGAAGGAUCAUUA